ACAUGCAUAUGAAAUAGCGUUAAUGCACUGGAUCCCAGUAGAAAUCCGCAGUUAAGCACACUCAGGCUAGAGUAGUACUGAGAUGGGUGACCGCCCGAGAAGUCCUAUUGUUUUACAUGCC
rnacentral:rRNA from 1 species